rnacentral:misc_RNA from 1 species
UCUCCGUUGGUGAACCAGCGGAGGGAUCAUUACCAAGUUUUUCUACCCCCAAACCCCUGUGAACUGAUACCUUUACUGUUGCUUCGGCGGGUUAACGCCCCCGAAGGCCCAAAAAGCCGCCGGAACCAGGCGCCCGCCGGGGGACCCAAACCCUUGUAUUUCUUACUUUGCACGUCUGAGUGGAAUCAUAAACAAAUGAAUCAAAACUUUCAACAACGGAUCUCUUGGUUCUG